AUUGAACGCUGGCGGCACGCUUAACACAUGCAAGUCGAACGGUAGCAGGUCUAGUUUACUAGAUGCUGACGAGUGGCGGACGGGUGAGUAACGCGUAGGAAUUUCCCCUAUAGUUCGGGACAACUUGAGGAAACUUGAGCUAAUACCGGAUGUGCCCUAUUGGGUAAAGGUUGCUUUCGGUCAGUCGCUAUAGGAUGAGCCUGCGUUGGAUUAGCUAGUUGGUAGGGUAAAGGCUUACCAAGGCGACGAUCCAUAGCUGUUCUGAGAGGAAGAUCAGCCACACUGGGACUGAGACACGGCCCAG
rnacentral:rRNA from 1 species